CGUACAGGUCUCCGUAGGUGAACCUGCGGAGGGAUCAUUACACAAUACAAUAUGAAGGCCGUACGCGGCUGGAUUAUUUUAUUACCCUCGUCUUUUGCGCACUUGUUGUUUCCUGGGCGGGUUCGCCCGCCACCAGGACCACACCAUAAACCUUUUUUAUGCAGUUGCAAUCAGCGUCAGUACAACAAAUGUAAAUCAUUUACAACUUUCAACAACGGAUCUCUUGGUUCUGGCGUCGAUGAAGAACGCAGCGAAAUGCGAUACGUAGUGUGAAUUGCAGAAUUCAGUGAAUCAUCGAAUCUUUGAACGCACAUUGCGCCCUUUGGUAUUCCAAAGGGCAUGCCUGUUCGAGCGUCAUUUGUACCCUCAAGCUUUGCUUGGUGUUGGGCGUUUUUUGUCUUUGGUUGCCAAAGACUCGCCUUAAAACGAUUGGCAGCCGGCCUCCUGGUUUCGCAGCGCAGCACAUUUUUGCGCUUGCAAUCAGCAACAGAGGGCGGCACUCCAUCAAGACUCCAUUUUCACGUUUGACCUCGGAUCAGGUAGGGAUACCCGCUGAACUUAAGCA
rnacentral:rRNA from 1 species